GGCAGGAAAAUCCAAGAGGAGUAUGUACGAACAUAAAUCUCCGAUGAGAGAAUACACCCUCAUGUUCAACACCUUUUAACAAAACAGCAUAUGAAGUGCUGCUCAGAAAUUGGAGGCCAGCUUAGUAUUUUUACUUACUAGCAAAUGAUGAAAACGGGAAAGAUCCUAAAGAAUGGGCAGUUUUGUGGAGGAGAGAGCACCCUGCAAUCAGGCAACUGCGAAAGAAACGAAGAGGAGGAUCAAGUGCUAAAGAAGUUUAACUUUCUCGAGAAAGAGGACUCAUGGGGGGAAUCCUGAAAGGCAUCAUGGCUGGCUGUUUUCCAUG